GACGAACGCUGGCGGCGUGCCUAAUACAUGCAAGUAGAACGCUGAAGGAGGAGCUUGCUUCUCUGGAUGAGUUGCGAACGGGUGAGUAACGCGUAGGUAACCUGCCUGGUAGCGGGGGAUAACUAUUGGAAACGAUAGCUAAUACCGCAUAAGAGUAGAUGUUGCAUGACAUUUGCUUAAAAGGUGCAAUUGCAUCACUACCAGAUGGACCUGCGUUGUAUUAGCUAGUUGGUGGGGUAACGGCUUACCAAGGCGACGAUACAUAGCCGACCUGAGAGGGUGAUCGGCCACACUGGGACGGAGACACGGCCCAGACUCCUACGGGAGGCAGCAGUAGGGAAUCUUCGGCAAUGGACGGAAGUCUGACCGAGCAACGCCGCGUGAGUGAAGAAGGUUUUCGGAUCGUAAAGCUCUGUUGUAAGAGAAGAACGAGUGUGAGAGUGGAAAGUUCACACUGUGACGGUAUCUGACCAGAAAGGGACGGCUAACUACGUG
rnacentral:rRNA from 1 species